rnacentral:lncRNA from 1 species
UUCUUUUUUUUGUUUGUAAGACGUACUAUGAUAUCUAUAGGGACCAGGAAAUGCAGAAGCCCAAUAUGGAACUCUGAAUCCUAACAAAGCCUUUACAAUGUUCAAAUGUAGCAUCAGAGUAUGCUUGGCUCGCAUACACCCACCAUAAGGUUUAACGUGCAUGAGUAAUUAUGUAGAAUACUUACCAUGAGAUGACUCAAUGUCUAAAAUGAGAUCGAGAGCAUAAUCAUAAUAAGGAACUUGGCUGCUGAGGCCACAAAGGUUGAAGUCGUCUUGUAUGUAGUCGUCGUCAACCUCGCAGAAGAAUUCGUUCCCUCUUAAAUUGCAAUACCAUGAAAUCCAUGAGGUGUCUUCUCCAUCAGAGCCACUAACAUCUGAUGCUUCACUAUCAGAAUCAGACUCCCCUGGAAUGUUAAGGAUGAAAGUAUCAAUGCAUGUGUUCUUAAGGAUUAUGAUGCGGAUACAACAAUAAAUACAACCAUCACAAACUCAAGCUAAACUGGUAGAAAAAGCAACAGCAAGCAGAACUUACAUAACUGACAAGAUCUACACUGUUACAACAGGAAUAAAUGCUAGGUAGAAAUGGUCUGUAUCACACAACACUAGAAAACAACUCAAAAAGCAUAAUCUACACAGUUCCUUUUGUCCCAACUUAUAUCAGUAAAGCUCUAAACAAACAAUAUGUUAAACCAAAAGUGUCUGAGUUGAAUCAAACCGAGCUUUGCGUCUUGAUUACAUCCACAAUUACAGAAAAUUUGCACAUCAAGAGCUCACCCGAAAAGCACAUGAAAACACUCGAAACCCGACAUUUGCUUAAAUCAAUACCCUGUCACCGAGAUCACAGUGCCAUUCCCACACGUUAAGGGCAAAAACUGAAAAAAAAAUACCAGCCACACCCACUCAAAUUUGAUUAUAAGCAACCAUGUGCAGACGCGUCAACAGAUCGCAACCCCAAUCCCUAAACCAAUCUCCUCCCGCACCCGCAUCCUACUUCACCAAAAAAACAACGCAGAUGCCACGGCCUCAUGAGCACACCAAACAGUCGCGCCGGAUUCGCGGCACGCCACGAGCCCACGCCGCGGCACCUGAAACAGAAAUGGGGAAAGGCGGGGGACGUCACCUUCGGAGCAGCGGCCCUUGGGCAUGGACGACGCGGAGGACGGCACGACGAGGCGGUGGUGGUCCCGCCCGCCGCCGCCGCCCGCCGACCCCCUCGACGUGGACGGCGACGCGACCGCCUUCUCGAGGUGCUUGUCGAGCGCGUCGCUGAUCCGCUUCCGGUCCAACCCCGCUCCCCCCUGCUUAUACAUCUCUCCCCUCUCUCUCCCCUCCCCACGCCGCGGUCUCCGUCUCCCUCCCUCUCUCUCUCUCUCACACGGGGCGAGCCAUUGGCACGACGCCGCGGGACGGGGCGAGGCGAGGGUAGGGUUAGGGUUUGCGCGCGGGGAGGAGGGGAGCACGAGCGCGAGGAGGACACGCUGCGAAUUUUGAGGGGAGGGGCGGGUGGGAAUGCAAAAAUGCUUGGGGUCGGAAUCAAAGCAGCUACUCAGCUGCUGGUGAUGAUGGGAAUGUCGUACAGCUCCAGAUAUUUUGUUGGAAAACAGGUGAUGCGAUCCGCCGUUGCAAUCCAAUCCGGCAUUGAUUUGCUGUAAUCUUUGUUUACUUGCCCGGACGCGCGUUUCUUUUCUUUAAUGCGGAUUAGAGUUUCGUGUGUACUUAAAGGGAAGUUCAUUGAUUGAUUAGGCAAAUUAAUUGGCUUGAUACACUAUAGCUUCGGUUGCUCGUGUUUAAUUAAUCAUCAUCAGGUUCAGCUGAGCUAAGUGGUGGGAUGAUGAUUAGCCAAGCAUCAACCUAAAUCAUUGGAGGAAAAAUAGUUUGGUUGUUUUUAAGGACUUUGGAGACUCGAGUGUCUUCUUCUUGAAACAAUUGGAUAGUUUUUUUUAUCGCACAUGUUAUUUUUUUAUAUGCUCUAAAUCUCAAAAAUAGAAAAGAAAAUACGCGCGGGUGAAUCACUAAAUCAUCAAGUGGAUAAUGAUUUAGACGGAUCAAGGACCCUGCUUACGCCGAUCUCAGUCUCGAAGAGAAGUCCAGCUUUAGAAUCUAUGGAAUAUCUGUUCUAAUCGUAUGGCUCAAAAUUUUCGGAGACAGGAGAAUGGUACAUGUGCGUUGAUACAAAAACUGAAAAAAAAAAGCAGCAGUCGCCUCCUUUUCCCUUUCGCAUGUGUGGAUUAGCAAGAAAAAGUCUCGUUUUCCUUUUAAAAGCUUACCACCAAGUUUAAGGUAAAGGCAAGUUGAAGAUAAUCAUAUGUUGCUUAUUCAGUAAUAACACUAAUAAUAAAAAUUCUGCCAGAACUAGGAUUUAAAAAUAUCCACUUCAAAUACGUAGAGUUCAGAUGCAACAUGAAACCAUAGUAAAGCUAUAUUUAUCUUUUAUUUUCUCUUUCCACUGCAAAUAUGAUAACUUGAUAAGCACUAUUCUUUUGGAACAUACCCCUAUUUUUCGCAUAUCUACGUUUGCCUUCAGCAUAUACCGCUACUCCUAUGUACCCGAUGCUUCAUGAAAUGGAAAAGAGAAGGCACCAAUCUUUGAAUUUAAAAAGUGUUUGUUUCUAGAACCACAACUAAAAUUCAUAGGAUUGGCCAUAAAAGAGAUUUCAGAAGUGCCAACAGCAUAUCCAACUUGUCAAGUACUCAAGUGCUGUCCACAACACGGUACAGGAAGUUUCACAAUUCAAAAUGUAUCGGCAGUCAUAAACAUCAAAAGUGCACAUUUGAAUUUCCACGCCAUUUGAUUCGGAGACUUCUCAGGUACAAUCUACAAUAAGAUCCUUUUUUCUCCUUCCUGUAACCUUCCUGUAACCAUCUCCUAGGGAAUUUCUUCAUAGCUGGCACAGCUCCACAUUUUGAUUUAUUGCUUUAUUGGUAUCCAUCGAGAAUGAUUUCUUUGAUCAUAUCAAUGGGUUCCUAUUGACAUCUUUGUACAGCAAGUAUCUGGUCCUGGUUUUACCAAGCGCGGCAUACCUGGAACAUCAUGGCAACAGCGGUAAGCUAACUGGAAAAAGAAAAAGCCAAGUGCAUGAAUGGCAAACACAAAGGUGGCAUACACGUACCACUGAGGAACAAACGGUGCCAUCCAAAUGGUAUCACCUGCUUGAACAGGGUACCUGUGUUAUCAACAGAAACAGUCUUCAGAAUAUAUUGAGAUUGGAUAUAAAAUGUGAAAGCAAUGGAGAUUGCGUGGAAUAUUAGAUUGAUUAAUUGAGAGAUAGAGGUUACAUAUAUAUAGGGGUGAGGAGAUCUUGAGGUUUAUUGAAACAGAACCAAUCAAGACCUCCUAUCUCUAACUAACCAUAUCUAGGGCCGGUCAGGCUUAAAGCCCACGGCACAGAUCCCAUACACACGUAUGACAUACAUACUGUCUAACAAAAUGUAAAGAAAAGUUAGAACGUCAAAACAAAAAGGAACAUGCGCAGUUUGUGCAUAUAAUUCCAUAACUCCUAGCAAAGCAUACACUCAAAAAUGUAAAGGGCAACAGAGAGAUGGUGGCGGAAAAAAAAACUAUAUUUGCAUGCAGGUAAUUCUGCAUAUGUUUAAUAAGGUAAAUGAGUAAUCUCUGUAGCACAUCUUAAGAAAUUUAUAUCAGCACAAAGCAUGUCAUCUUUCACGGGAAAAAAAAUAAAAGUUUCUAUAUGAAAUAUAGGCAGCUAUUCCAAGGUUGCACAAGGUUAGAAAGCUUAACAUGAGAAAAAUAACCUAAAAAAAGGACUUUCAGACUUCCUUACCAGCUAUCCCCCAAUCGGUAUAUUCCUUGCCCCUCUAGAAGCAGAAGCCCAUGUUGAUUAUAGUGAACCUCCUGGUAGAAAAAAAAUUAAAAAAAUAUGAAAAGAAGUUUCAAGGUUGGAUGUAUGCAUUGUACCACAACAUCUCAUGAUUCAUGCAGCAAGGCCAGUAUGCAAUUAUUGUUCAAACACCUCCUAAUGUAAGACACAAAUUUUACAAACCUUCACAUUGAGAUAUUCGCCUGGUUGAAAGUCCAUUAUCUGCAUGUGGGAGAAGCAAGUGAGUAAUUUAUAGGUGGCUAAAAGUAUUAAUGAUGCUUGGUUUGCUGCAUGAAAUGUGCCUGUCUUAGGUGGAAUGGCGUGGGAUACAGUAAGUAAAAUAAUGAGCUCAAAAGUGACCAAACUUACAUGGAUAUUAAAGUCAUAAGGCAUCGAAGUUGGUAGCAGCUUCCUCAGUUGAAAUACCUAAUUGAGAAAUGAGAUACAACACAUUACAUCAGCACUGAAGACUGAGACUAUGACAGUUAAAAUAACUAACAUCAUUCAUGAAUUUUCAAGGCCAAAAAGAGGAUCUGAAGCAAGACAAAACUGCCAGUCAAAGCAGCCAAGUUUGAACACCCUGAUUCUAAAAUAAAGAAACAAUUUUUAAUGCCUCUUAAUGUGCAUGGUAUGAAAAACAGACCUCCUAAAGGUAGGAAUCCUAUUUUUAGGUCAUAGAUGAUGAUCAACAGAGAUAAGGCUAUUGUACCUCUCCUGGGGUUUCAAGAAGGGGUUGCUUAUCUGUUGAACCAACAAUUAGAUCAGGGUGGGAAUCCUCGGUGGCACUGUACCUAAGAGAUAAAUUCGAGAAAGGUCUUAAUUGUUAUCAUUUUGAUGAAAAAAUGAAAAAGAGAAACUAAAGCACACUGAAAACCUGCAGUCUCGGUUAAGCCAAUCAUAUUCAUAACAAAAAGAAAUGAGCAACAUAUGCUUUGAAUUUUUUUUAGUUUACCUAAAGUUCAACAUUUCUACCAGCAAAUUUAAUCCAAUCUUUAAGAUUAAUGCACACCUUACUGACAAACAAACUUCUAGGGGAUUGCAACAGUUAUGUCAAUAAAAGUGGUAGCAACCAAUCAAAUCACUAUAUUACUACAUCACAAACUGUAGCAUAUCAAUGAAAUUACUGUACCUCCUCUCAAAUAUUACAAGAGUGGUUGAUUCAUCUGAGAUCAUAGAAUGUUCUAGGUUUGCAGGAAGAUACGCAUAGGAAUCCACCUGCACUUAUCAUCAACAGAUAGUAAUCCGCAUCAGGGCAGAAUUAGCAUACAAGGAACAAGUUCCUAAGAUAAUCGAUAUUAUGAAAACAAUAUUUUAAAAGCAUAAGAAUGCAAAUUUAUGAAAACUGCUGAAUUGAACACUUUACGAUCUCUCAUAAAUGUUUCUUGAAGAGCUGGUAGAUUGCAUAAGCCUUGCAUCUGAACAUUGGUAGGAUUCAGUACACAACUUAUAUGUCAUGCUUUUUUCUUGCCACCAGAGUAAUGUUGUAUUGUUUUACAUAACCAUGUUCUCAUAUAAUUUUAUAUCAGCUGAUGACAUGAUUGAAUACUCUUCCUUAUUACCAAAUUGAAUGGUCACAAAAAUUCGAAUAGCAUUUUCCAGAUGCGGAGUGGACUAGAGCUGAAUGGGGCUCCCCUUACAACAUAGUGCUGCAUGAAGAUAUGCAUAAACGAACCAAAAUCUUUGCCGUCAUAAAUUCAUCAUGUAAUGGAAUUUGUAUUCUUUCAACCCCCAAUGCUUAGAGAGUUCUGUACAAAAGUAGAGUGCAUAGAUAUACAGAAUUAUUUUGUUUAAAGAUUUAGAAAGAAGAAAAAAAGGCACAUACUACAUGUCUACAUCUGAUAAAGCCUUACCGACAGAGAAUGGGUAGUUUCAGUCCCCACAGACAAUAAAAUGCUGCCUUGUAGUACAAAAACGAGCCUGGAAAGUUGUUUACAAUAAGGGCAGUGGAAACCUCAUUAACAAAGUGAAUGGUGACACUUCCAAGUCAAACAAAGAGCUGGAUGCUUAAAAAAUGAGAUAUUUAACUUGGUGUGCAUUACAUUACAGCACUUGUGGCUCCAAAUGAUGUCCCAUGGACUAUUAAAAAUGGUAGUUUAUCCAAUUAUGCGUUAUUGCUAUUCUAACUAGUGCAAUGUAAGAGACCAACCUUUCAACAUCUUUCGGUGGUAGGGCUGAUUUUGAGCCAUCUGCAACCCCACAAUCACACUACUUUAGAACAUGUCACUAUAAAACCACUAAUUUUCGAAACAAAUAAAGAUAACAUGUACUUGAUGUUAAAAAACAAAGAACCAUCUUAUAGUACAGCCUUUAACUGUUAAUUACUUAAGAGUAAAGUGCAUGGCCGGUCCUUAAACUUUCUCGGGUGUGCAUCCCAGUCCUUCAACUCGCAAAUUGCAGAUUUGGCUCCCUAAAUUUAGCUUCGGGUGUUAUCCUGGUCCCCGAACUCGUAAAUUGUAGAUUAGGCUCCCUAAACUUAGCUUCAGGUGCCAUCUAGAUCCAUAUACUUUGAAAAUGUAGAUAACUUCCAUGAGCUCAAGCGCGCGUAUAGCGCUCACCAAAGGUGAAAAUCGAAGCUAGAAUUUGGAAAUCGAACUAGGAUCUGUCUGUGCGGUUUCGAAGCCAGGGAUGAUUGUCUGAGGCCCUGGGAGUAUCUCAAAAGUGCUUAGAGCCCAGCAUUAUCCACGGAAUAGCAGUGCCUCAGGUCUAGCUCAAUCAGGCUACUGCAAGUGUGCAACCAAUGGAGAUGGAGGUGAUCCACGUAUUGUAGUGAUGAACUAAACUAUACACAACUAGCGUCUCUCAAUUACCCUAAUCAUUAACACGGAAAUCAAUGAGGUUAAUGUCACUAAGAUGGGAGCAGAGGGUUGCAAUUUGAUCUAGUCGCUUCUCAUUUUCGCUCCAAAUAAGCUUUUGAGAAAAAAAAUAGAUUUAAUCAUUUAUUGUUAAGUAAUCUGUAUUUUUAAAGUAUAUGGACCUAAAUGACACCCGAAGCUAAGUUUAGAGAGCCAAAUAUGCAAUUUGCGAGUUCAGGGACCGGGAUGACACCCGAAGCUAACUUUAGGAAGCCAAAUAUGCAAUUUACGAGUUCAGGGACUGGGGUGACACACCCGAGAAAGUUUAAGGACCGGCUAUGCACUUUACUCAUUACUUAAUUAUGCAUGACUAACUAUGGAAUGGGAGAGUAAUAUAUUUAAUUGCAAAAAGACUGUCCACGCCUGAAAGGAAAUUUCAACAAAAUUCUGGCUGCUUAAAUGAUCUGGUAUGAAACAAAUAUCCACCUUAUAGAAGUAGAAAAUUAUAUCUGAGUUCCAUGGGAACUUGUUGAACAAUUACGAGAUCAAAGCAUAUCGAAACUUGUGCUACAUGACUAAGAUGGGCCGCAAAAUACUUUCCAUAUGAGUCUUAAAAGACAUAUAUUAGAAAAUCUAUGCACCUGCAAACUUUCAUGUUUCUAUCUAUGGUUCUUGCAAAUGGGACAAAUAGCUCACCUUGCAUGUUUGCCAGGUACAUAGUGAAGUGUGCACCAAUGGCUGGACUGAUCAAAUAUGCACCUAAUGUAUUGAUCCUAAGCAGAGGGUAAAUGAUAAGCGCAUGACAUUAGCAUAGCUUCAGAAAAUGAAUAGAAAGUAUAAGCAGAAGGAAACUGUACCAAUCAGGCAGAGGACCGAAUACAUGACUUUCUGGUGUUAUUAAAGCAUGAUCCCUUUUGAAAACGCUACGUGUGAAGCCAGGUAAAUCUAGAGUUCCAAAAAGGGAUUCCAAAAAAGGACCAUCAUUAGAUGGAAUAAACAAUAGGAGCAUCUGUAUUUAUGGACACAAGGAUUAGCUUAACAAAUAAACAACACAGCACAAAGUAGUCAAGCAAACACAUUUCCUCUAGCCUUAGAGAUCAUGGCAUAAAUCAGAAAGAAUAUUCAUUUAUUCAGAAUGAUUAGCAGGUGCAAGAUUUAAAUCUUUGCACAUCACUAAUUAAUUCAUAAAUCAUAAUGGAUAGGUUCAAUCCAAUCCAAGGAGCUUCAUAGGACUACGGGACAUGGGAAGAGGCAAUAAAAGGAGUUUGAAGGGAUGGAAUAUACCCAAAGAUUUAGCCCUGGAUAGGAGUGCAUGGAAAACAGCUAUUCAUGUGCCCGAACCCUGAUUUGUGGCUCUAGUUGGGUUUCAACUCUAGCCUAUCCCAACUUGCUUGGGACUGAAAGGGCUAUGUUGUUGUUGUUGUUGUUGUUGUUGAAAAGUAGAAUAUAAGAAUUAAUAUUUCUCAGACACCAGCUCAUGUCUUCAAGGUUUUCCAGAUUUUUUUUUUGAGGAAACAAGGUUUUCCCGAUUUGAGAAUUAAUACUUUUCAUGUAGACAGUAGCAUACUUCAAUUCCAUCAAAAACUCCUAUAUAUGCAUGGGAUCAUAAGACCGCCAAUAGGAUGCCGGUGACACCCAUAUGACCAUAUAAAUUGGAUUUUGAUGCAGUCCAUAAACCCAGGGUUUAUGGCAAGACUGCAACUAUGACCAGUUGACCACUGAACCUGGAAACUAGAUUUAUGAAGUUCAGUGACAGCGACUCAGGCAGCAAGCAAAGAAAAAACAUAUCCCACUGGCCAUUCCAAAAAAACGGGCGACUCUAGUCUAAGGUUGGUCCGCUGGUCCUCAAUACGCACCUUGGAGGUGCGCGGGCGCGAGGGUGGGGUGGGUAGCCUUCCAGUAGAGCGGCGGCCCCCCGGAGCACCCGCUCGACGGCUCCGCCGAGCAGAAACCCUCGCCGGCAUCUCCGUAUCCAGCCGCCGCUCCUGCAAUCGGACAAAGGAACACACCGCGAAGCGUGUGAGGCAGGAGCGAGCACUGGCACAGUGGACACUGCGGAUGAUGCCAAAGUGGCGGCGGAGAGAGGGGAAGCGCGGGUUAGGGUUCCAGCGCUAUUACCGCAUCGCAGCGACGCCGCGAGGACGAAGAGGAAGAGGGAGCGGAUUGGGGUGCUCGCCAUUUGCCGCGGAGUGAUUCGCAAAUUUUUGGAGAGCAGCGGAGGCGGAGAAGAGAUGGAAGGAAGGUGGAGGGGGAACUCGGGGAGCGUGCGGAUGACACACUGUCGCCGUGUCGCGCACCGUGGACUGUGGUGCGGUGGCGGGCCCCACCAGGUGACUUGGAUGUCAUCUAUCGUCCUUUUUUUGUUUUUUUUAAAUGGAUCGUGGCUUUUCUUUUGUUAAGAAAUGUUUUCGUAUCUUAUAUGCAGUGGAUUUUUUUUCUUAAAAAUGGAUCAUGACUUUUCUUUUUGUUAAGAAAUGUUUAUCUAACCAUUGAUUUUAAAGGUUGCGGUAGUGAUGCAUGACAUACGAGUCCUUAUGUUUUAUUAUUGCCGUGAUUUACCUGAAAUAACAUUUCACCUGUAGUAGUAGACUAGUAAUGAGUAAAUGAUCCUCCUCCAGAAUAUUGGAGCUGCUGGAUCGUGAAUCCACUGUAGUCCUAUCCCACCAAUAGGACUUCUCGUCCCGCAAAGCAAAUGUUAAGAAACAAAGGUCUUGUUUAGUUUUAGUUGCCAACUUUGGGAUGCCAAAAUUACUGUAUACUGUAGCAACACUGUAGCGUUUCGUUUGUAUUUGUGAAUUAUUGUCCAAAUAUUGACUAAUUAGGCUCAAAAGAUUCGUCUCGCAAAGUACAACAAAAUUGUGCAAUUAGUUUUUAAUUUCGUCUACAUUUAGAGCAUGUUUGAUGUGAUGGGGAAUCUUCUUUUUGCAUAGUGCUAAAGUUGGGAUUUAGGGGUGAACUAAGCAAGGCCAAAGGUCGUGUGAUGUAGCCUGCACUCUUUUAUUAGACCAUACAAAUUCAUAGACGAGCAUCAAGAACCAUAGCUCAGCAGUUGAAACUCACCGCUAUAAUGAACUGUAACUAGGAAUCUUAAGGUUACUUUACAUUACCGAUCAGUAACUUCACUUCAGCUCUCAAUGUUGAUGGAAAGGCAUACAGCCAGAUUUCCGAUGUUGUAUCUGUUUUAGCGGCCAUCCAACUAACAAAGUGGUCAUCGAAGUCUAAGUAGGCAGAAUUGUUGACAGCCACUGAACCGGUGCAACUUGGAUAGGAUGGAUGACUCUCCUCAGUGUGCCAGCAGGCAAGGCGGAUACAGAGCAUGCAAACAGUGUGAUUUACUCAAGCCACAAGCAAAGACAUGAUUCAAGUGCCCACAAGACAAUCAUCAUGCUCUGUGGAUACAUUGACAUCACCAGAGACGCCCACAAGAUCAGCACUUGGAUUGACAUGAGGAACAGAUGGCGCAGAGGUGACAGUAGCCUGAUUGAGUACCUUGACAAGGAGCAACAUCAGGACUUCAAACAACAACCCUGGCCAGGGGACAGUCACGGUGCUGUCAGCAUGAGCACUUGAGCAGCUCCUCCCUGUCUCACUGUCUGGUGUGGGACAGAGGACAGAUUCAGUGAUUCAGUGUGGGACAAGGAGUCGAAUUGGUAUCUGGGUUCAGUAUUUAAUUUAGAUGUGCAAGAACUAAGAACAUGGGAAGAGAAGUUUGUGGGAUUAUGUAAAGUAAAACCAUAGGGAAAUUUUACUUCCAUGAAGACGGCAGGUUUACUUGAAAGUGGAGCAUGUCCAAGUCCAAUGCCCUCAUCUGCCUCAACUUCAGCACCGUCAUGAGCCCUCUGACCAGGUUGUUGGCAAAGAGAAGGAUUUACCCAGAAAUAAAUGUUGCUUGUCCCAACCUUCCAUUGUGCUGUCUGCAGGAAGAACAUAUGAGCCUACCAAAUCAACAAUAUAUCUUGUAAAAUAUAUGAUGAUAGAAUUUCUAAUAUGUAUGUUCAAAUGAGUCACUCUACAACAACAUUAGCUAGCACUACACGGUUUCUGUUGACCGCAGGGUGGCAUAUGGAUGGAUCACCACAUAAACCACACUUUUGCACCUUAUAACUAGAGACAUUUGCUUUGGCAGUGGAAUAUUCUGAAUUUCUGAUCAGAUGUUGGCUAAUAAAUGGUGCCUCGAUUUUCAACUACACAAUAGCUCAGGUUUAUCUCUCUCGACUAUUGUGAUUUUGCUAGAGACUGCAAAUGAAUCCCAACUACAAAAGUUUGCAAAUUUUCAACAUACUGAUCUACUAAUUCUCAAACAUGUUAUAGCCUAGGAACCUAGCCACAUUUUGCACAUUAACAUGUUAUAGCCUAGGGAUGCAUGUACAUGAUGUUCUCACAUCAGUAGUUGAAAACAAGCUUUACACAGCUCACACCUAGAGAACAAGUUAGCAUCAGUUCAGCUGAUUUCAACACUAGAAGUUAAAUUUCUGAGAUAAAUGCUUGUAAUAUGCCAUGCAGAAUAAAGAACAAAAACUCUACAAGAAUAAAUAACUAAGAAACUUAACCAAAGGAAAAAAAGAAACUAGACCAUGGGGAUAGACUCCCCAGGGCUUUGUUCUAAGAAGGUGUCGCGCUUCAGACCCAGAUCGGAACUUAACCAAAGGAAGAUGAACAAUGUAAAUAUAGCUAGGUGAUUUACCAGAGUUCUUUGCUGCAAUAAGCUGAGGUUGAAAUCCAUGCAUGAUGCAUCAAUGUGUAUCAUCCAAGCAAGCUAUCACAAUCCUAAGUGCCCAUCACUGUCAUUUCUUUCCUCAACUUCUCCACCAUCUCAUAGUCUUGAGACUUCUCAUAGGCACAAAUAAAUGCAUGGUAAACCUCGCUACCAGCGUUAAAUCCUUUUCCAGCCAUCUCUGCCUGGAGUCUGAUCGCCACCUCCACCUCCCCUUCAUCACAAAACCCCUUUAUCAAUAUCUCAUAACUCCUCCGAGUUGGCGCAAACUCUUCCCUCCUCAUCUCCUCCCGCAAAACAUGCAAGCCAUCCUGAACCCUACCAUUUUGACAUAAUGCAUCCAACAAUUCCUCAACAACCUCUGACGCCAACCCAAACCCCCUCCUCCUCAUGUCUGCACGCACAAGCAGCGCCGCCUCAGCAUCCCCUUCCAUACAAUGCCCCCUAACCAACCAUUCAAACGUCGUGGCACUUGGAUCAAUUCCAUCCAUCUCCAUAUUUUUAAACAUCUCCUCUGCCAUCCCUACCUCCCCAGCACGGCAAUAGCCACCAAUCAUCGUGUUGUACACAAUUACAUCAGGCUGGAUCCCUUCCUGAACCAUCUCACCCCACAGUCCUCGUGCCUUCUCCACAUCUCUACAAUCGCAGUACUCAGCCAUCCUAAUACUGUAGGUGCAGACAUUGUUCCUGCAGGAAUAUUUGCCCAUUUCCUGGAGCACAAUCUUGAAUUCAUCGCACUUGCCCUCGCGGUAGAAGGCUAGGAGAAGGGAAUUGAAGGUGUGAACGGUUGGCUGGAGCAGGUGGCUGCUCUGUGGAGUUGAAUGUGUGUAGAUUUGAUGGUACAUGUCGAGCGCCGCGGCGGCGGAGGGAAGUGAUCGAAGAAGAGCGGCGGCAGUGGAGGGGAGCGGCCGGGCGCCGGCGGCGAGGAUGCGGCGGGCGACGGAGGCCGCGGCGAGGGCGUCGCGGCGGGAGCGGAGGUACGCGAGGAGGAGGAGGUCGAAGACAAAUGGAGCGGAGGCAAAGCGGCGGUAGGUGGCGGCGAGGGCAUUGAAGAUCUCGGCCGGGGAGUAGUGGCGGGAGGCGGAGGCGAGGACAGCGAGGGCGGCGCCCCGGAGGCGCGAGGCGGCCGCGACGUGGGCGGCGGAGGCGGAGAGGACGAGAGGGGGAGUGGAGUGGGAGGGGAGGAGGCGGCGGAGCGCGAAGGCGUGGAAGCGGAGCGCGGUGUGCGGUCGGCGGCGGAGGAGGAGGAGAACGGCGGCGGUGGCGGAGGGCGGGAGCGGGGACGGGACGGGGAUCGAGGAGAGGUGAGACCACUUGGACUUGGCGCGGUGGGAGGUGAGCGCGGUGGCGGCAGCGGCGGCGUACGGGUGGGCGGCAUCGACGAAGUAGCUGGACGAGGGGUCGGCGGUGGGGUCUCGGCCGCGUGUGCCGGCGGCGUUCAUGGAGAAGGGCAGCAGAUGCCUAUGGGGUGGAUUGGAUGACACUAGUAUGACAGUGAUGGAACGGCGGUGGCCAGAAGAGCCAGGUAACUUCAACUGGCGCAACCAGCAGUGGCUUCCCCGUGAAUACCCAGAGUUGACUCAAAUCGAUGCCCUGCUAGAGCGAGUUGACUCGAUUAUUGGGAUUGGAAUUGGGCUCUGGGUAAGAAUCAAGACCCAGCCAGAAUUGGGAUUGAGACUUGAGAGCCUGCUUGGUUGGCUCCAAAAUUUGUCCAACCAAAAUUAAGGUAAGCUUGUAAACAUUGUCACUUGUUUGGUUGAAAGUUAAAAGAUUUUGACCAUCACAUUUUAGCACCCAAUCAAGUUCUUUCUUCCUCAAGUUUUAGCAAAGUUUAACGUACCAUCCAAACACCCCAUGUGUUAAAUUUUAGCAUUUCAUUUGAGAGUGUUAAAACUUUAACACUUGUUAAAUUUUAAUACAGGGUAUGCAAACAGACCCUUAGACUAAUUACUUACAUAACUUGGGCCCUCCACUAGCAUGGCCCUUGGCCGUCACCCCUAAUGCCCUAGGGUCAGAACCGGCCCUGACAGAGUGCAUUGCAGCAAAAGUGUGCAUUUCUCUUUUCUUCCUUUUCUUCUUCUAAGUUACAGUGUAAGAUGCCUGUGUUGAGCAAAGUGAAAUGUACGGAUUGUUGCAUGUUGAGAAACAUCAUCCUUCAUUUCUUUGAGUUUUGCUUACUCUUCUUUUGUAUUUCAGCUACUGAAAAAGCUCGGAAGAAAGGUGAUGGUACUAGCAUCUCGAUGAAGAAGUACAAGUUGAGUACUAGAAAGUUGAAGAAUUACUAGCAUUUCCGAAUUUUUUAAACAUUAAAAAUGAAUGUUUCUGUGAAAACACAAUAAAUUAAUCGCAAGGAUAACUGAAAGUCGAAAAUAAAAAAGAAAAAAGAAAAGGAAGGAAUGUAAACUAACCUGGGUUUUGCAUUCAGAAAAGAAAAAACUAACCUGGGCUUACCUUUCGGCGAACUGGCCGGCCUUUGCGUGCUGGGCUUGAUACGGGCCGUUCGACGUUGACUGAAGCCGCGAUCGGUGCGGUGGAUGGAACUCCCAGGCUCCCAGCGCUUCAGCCCUCGCGUCGCCUCCUUCGGUUGUUCCUCGCGAGAUCUCGCCGGCGCCGCCCGCCUCCAUCUCCCACGCUGCCCUCUGCCGCCACCACCACCUCCUCUGCCGGUGCUCAUCUGUGACGCAAUUCGCCCCCGAAGCUCGAUCCCGUCACCCCCCGCCUUCAGGUAGGUCAUCGUCUCCUCCUUAGGUGAACACCCAUGAAGGACAUAGUCAAGGGGUCGUUCAUGGUAGCAGUCCCUCGGUUGCCUUUCUUCCUCCUCUCUCACUGUCUGGGGUUUCGAUUCUGCGGUUGCGGGAUCAGUGGAGAAGAGGAGCGAAUGGAUUUGAGUAAUGUUUCCUCAAUUUGGAGCCAAGGGUCUCAGAUUAAAAAAAAAAGAGCUCCGAUCUGAUUUUCCUUAUCCUUUGUGAUCUCCAAUUUGAUGCUAUAAUCACCUGGUACGCCUUCAAUCACUAAUUGGAUGAUUUGGGGAUCUAAAUGCUGGCUGCUCUGGUUUUAUUCUGCAAGUCUGAACUUGCGAGUUGCGAUUGAUGUUUGUGCACAAGGGAACCGGGCACGAGAUGAUUUGAGCAUUGUAGAGGGGAUUCAGUUUCUCUGCUAUACCAUCUAUGAACAAUUCAAUAUCCAUUUUAGGUUAUACUUGUUCCCUACAACUAUUAUAUUAAGCUAGAUCACCCCAGCCUAGCAGGUGGCACUGGGCAGGAAUCUUACUAUUGUGCUGGAACAUUGGACAUUUCCUUUAUUCGUAGGCAAAGUGUCGGAAAUUGUUUGUCUGACAUGUAACACCGUUUACAGAAUUAUCUGUGCUAUCCAGUUAAUUGACCAAAAUGAGUUCGUCACUGGUGGGUCCAUCAUUUGAAGUAUGGGUAGUAGAGGGUCAAUCAUUUUAAGAAUUCAUCUCCAACUUUUAUUUGUGUAUCUGCACACCCAUUUGCUUUCACAAAGUCCUACUUGUGGACUAAACUUCCUGACUUGUGUCGGUGUGUAUCUUGCAGAUGUUACAUUUUUCUCCAGUCCUUAAGAGUAAUUAACAUCUAUUAGUCAGUCAUGGAAGAACAGCAAGUCAAGCCAUCUGAUCUGCCACCAACUAAUUCGGACAACCAGGAUUCAGCUGCAACUCCUCCUGUUACCACUGUUGACCCUGUUCAUCCGGCUGCUUCAACUGAUUCUUCCAGUCAGGUUGCUGGUGUAGAUCCUGCUGUUAUCUCUGCACCAACUGCUGCUCCUGCAAAAGAUGCUGCGGGACGUGAGGCACCGGCAUCCAUGUUUUCUACAUCUGGUUUAUCAUCCUGGGCUAAGAACCUAAAAAUUCCUCAGCCUUCAUCAGGUCAAGAAUCACCAACAGGAAAGAAUACCUUUGCCCGUUUUACAAGUGGCUUUGGAUUGCGUUUGUCUCCAAAAGCUGCACAGCAAGAUGAGAUUGCUGAGGGAAGCACCUCCCCAACAACAGGACAGCCUGGUGUUUUUGGUUCUUUGACAAAAGGCAUUGUAGAUUCCUCCAAGAAUGCUGUAAAGGCAGUGCAAGUCAAGGCUCGCCACAUGGUCUCACAGAAUAAAAGACGAUACCAGGUACCUUUAAUUCACACGGGGAUCUAAAAUUUGACGAAAAUUUGGCAUCUUCAAAUACUCUUGUUGUUCAGUUCACAUAGAGUAACAUGAUCACGAAACGAGCGUUCAUUGAUCACCUUCUUUGAUAGAAUUAAUAGAUUAAUUUUUUGAGCAUCCAUCAUUUGUUGAAAUCUGAUAGGAACAUUGUCACGGUAAACUUGCUGCAUAAUGUCACUUUAUGCCAGCGUACACUUGUGUGUGCUGACUGUCAGCUUAGCUAUCUUCAAUAGCAUACUCUUAACAUCCGUAGGUGCUUGGCAGUAGGGGGAUGAUUAAUGCCUAGGCAGGCUAGCUGGCCACCUUUUUGAAUGAUAGUUUCUCGAUCAGUGGAGAUCUUACUUUGUGCCUUAUGGUGAUAAUAGAUCAUAAGUUUUAUGUACUUUGAUAUAAACAACAAAGACAAUGGGAGAUUCUGUAUUGGGAGAAGGGUAAAUUUGCUUCCAGGAACAAGAACCAUCAAUUUGACGCUGUCUAUUGAGCUUUUUAAUUUUUUAUAAAUUAUGUGGAGUUGAUUGUUGUAUUGAUCAAGGAAUUCUGUGUCAGAUCAUAUUAGUGAUGAUCCUUUAAUGAUUAAGUUUUGUUGAUUUACUAUAAAGGAAAACUCUAUUGAUUUGAUUCUGCUACUAUGCAGGAAGGAGGAUUUGAUUUAGAUAUGACAUAUAUUACUGAGAACAUAAUUGCUAUGGGUUUUCCUGCUGGUGAUUUGAGUUCAGGGCUUUUUGGAUAUUUUGAGGUCAGUGUACUAACAAGGCUUCAAAGUUUGCUUAAAGCUUGUUCCUUUUUAUUUGCCUCAUGAAUAGAAAGGAAAAAUAACACUCCAUUGCAGGGUUUCUACCGCAACCACAUGGAGGAAGUCAUCAGGUUCUUUGAAAUGCACCAUAAGGUAACUUUGUUCUUUAUGAAGUUUCUUAACUGUUAACAUAAAUGCUUCCCAGGUAACACAUUUCAGAUUGUUAGUAAUAGUCUAUUGUUGGAUUUUCUUGUCCAUUUUCCUCGUAAUGCAUCAGUUAAACAACCAUACCUUGAACUUGCUGCGUUAACUUAAUGUUAUUAAUAUAACACAAGCCAGUACUCCCCCCUCUAUUUUUUGAGGGAAUUACUCCCCCUUAUGUUGUACCAGUGUACAGUGUUUUCCUUCUUAAAAAGAAAGUUCAUGUGCUUAAGAGCAUUGAUUGUCUACUUAGUUUCCAAUUUUCAAAGUUGCUAGAUAAGUAUAAAAGAGAACCUACAUUUGAGGGCUUAUCUUUUUGACAAUACUUCGAAAUGUUAAGGAACGUUGAACAAUUCAUUCAUUUAGCCUUCUAAUUUAAUCGUUGUGUUACAGGGGAAGUAUAAGGUGUACAACCUUUGUUCUGAAAGGCUAUAUGAUGCAUCCCUUUUUGAAGGAAAGGUAUGGGUUGCUUAUUAUUUUGUGUUCCCCUCUUCCUUCUAUUUCCAGUUUUCCAAAUUUAUCGUGCACACAAGGCAUGCACUCCUUGUCACCAACAAUGAAAGAUACUAAAAACUCAGUGGUACUUAUAUCUGGUGCAUAAACAGUUUCCUUGUUAUAUUUGCAAUUUGCCAAUCAGUUGUUGAUAUUUUUGAAAGGUCUUUCAAUGGUUUAAAGCCAGUUUAUCUUUCAACACCUAUGUUAUGCCUUGUCAUGUGGGAAUCUUAAGCCUAGUCAGUUUAUCAUUCAACACUUACGUUAUGCCUUGUCAUGUGGGAAUCAAGCCUUGCAGCUUUGUGAAUUUAUUGGUUUGUUUUAUUGGAAAUAUUCAAAAAAUUCGUGCAUAUUUCAGGUGGCCUGCUUCCCAUUUGAUGAUCAUAACUGCCCUCCAAUACAACUUGUCAUAUCAUUUUGCCAUAGUGCCUACUCAUGGUUGAAAGAGGAUAUAGAGAACGUGGUGGUUGUUCAUUGCAAAGCUGGGAAGGCAAGAACAGGAUUGAUGAUCUCGAGUCUUCUACUGUUUCUAAAGGUAAAGUUAGCAUGCACUGUAUAACAAUCAGAAUAACACCUGCUACGAAAUCUUUACCAAAUUUCUUACAGUUGGAGCUUCUUUUCUUUUCCUUUUGUAAUGGACAGUUCUUUCCUACUGCUGAGGAGUCCAUUGAAUACUAUAACCAGAAAAGAUGUGUAGACGGCAAGGGGCUUAUUCUUCCAAGUCAGAUUGUGAGUGAACUUCAUUGAUAUACACAAGUUUAUCCAUAUAAUUUUGUCUUUAUAUUGUUCUGAAUAUUUUGAAAAAUUACAGAGAUAUGUGAAGUAUUUUGAACGCAUCUUAACUUAUUUCAAUGGUGAAAGUCAGCCGCCCCGCAGGUCUUUAUACCUUUGCAACCAUGGUGCCGAUAUGAUAUGCAUGUGUAUUGUGCUUUAGUAAUUAAUCAUGUGAUAACACUUUCCAGGUGUAUGCUUAGAGGGUUUCGUCUUCAUAGAUGCCCCUAUUGGAUCAGGCCAUCAAUUACAGUCUCUAAUCACAACGGUGUGUAUUUUUAAUUGAAACCAAAAUUGCCAUGUGCCAUAAUACAUUAAUUUAAUAACAAAAUUCUUGCUGUGUUUUGAUAUCUUCUAUUGUGUCAUGUAAUAAAUCUGUUGUGCAGGUGUUCUUUUUUCUACAAAGAAGCAUCCAAGAACAAAAGAACUAAUGGUAAGCAUCUUUGUUUUAUGAAUCGCUCUUAUUUUGCGUUCAGUAACCCGUGGGUUGAUGUUUUCUUCCCCGUAGUUUGCUAUGGAAUGUUCGAGUAGCUCAUAUUAUGGAUUCUUCAUGGCUUGAUGCUUGUUUGCAUAGUGGGUAAGGGCACCAACAUAUUGGCCGGCAUGUUUUGAUGUACCAAUGCUAAAUAAGGGAAUGUCUCAUUGUACAACUUGAAAUAACUAGUACCAAUGACCCAUAUAUUCAUAUUUGCAUGGAUAUGUCUAUUAGCACAGCAUAUUGUUCGCUAUGCAAAACUAUGCUUGGAGAGUAUAAUUCACAAUAUCGCAUUAUUUCCUUUGUUCCUGUGGGCAAAUAACAAAAAAGACAUUCCCUGAAUUAGUUUUCUCCUUGCUGUCACUUAUAAACACCAAAAAAUAUAUAAAGAUGCUAUAUUAUUCUUCUAUGACCUAACAGUAUGUCCUGUUGAUAUUUAUCAUCUAUUUUUUAUUUAUUCAAUGCAGACUUUAUCCCUCUGUAACCUUCAUUGGAAACUAAAUGUAUUAUCAUAAUUUCAGCCAGAAGAUUUCUGGUUUAGUGCACCAAAGAAGGGGAUUAUGGUUUUUGCAUUGCCGGGAGAACCUGGCUUAGCUGAGGUUUCUGGUGAUUUCAAGAUCCAGUUUCAUGAUCGACAGGGAGAUUUUUACUGGUGAGCUCCAUGAAGUUAUUGUAUUAUUCCUAUAUAGACUCGUUCUUCUAUUACUUAUAAUGGGUUCAUUUUUCUUUUGUUACCAUGUUUUCUGAGUUGCAUGGGCAUGUAUAUAUAUUAUUUGAUUUGAAUUGAUGGCACCAACAUUUUACAUGGGAAGCUGGAAAAGAACUAUUGUCUUGAAUCUUGAUAUUCGAUUUCAUUUCUUUCCCUAUCCUUUUCAGCUGGCUAAAUACAACAAUGAUGGAGAACAGGGUGACUUUGAAUCCAACCGAUCUUGAUGAUUUUGAUAAGGUGAAAGUUGCUUUAUUGCUGAUAGAAUUCAUAUCUGUCUGUGAAGAGCAAAUAUCAAACUAUUUAACAAGAUGUGCCACUAAGAACUAGAAGAAAUGUGUUUAUACGUUGUUCUUAUGAUGUUGGAAUCGGAUGUAAUUAGAUACUUGUUCAUUCGUUGCUCAGACAUCUUAUGCUGAUAGUUUCACAAAUGCACAUUUCUUCUAGUUGAUGCCUGAGAUUUUUGCUUUUCCUAAUUUAUUUAUAUUUUCUAGCCAACAUUUUGCUCCAUGCAUUCUCAUGCUGAAUACUAUAGCCUCUUCUUGUUUGCUUUGCUGCCGCUUGGUCAUCGAAUUGCAAAAUCAUGGAAGCUGAAUUUGCAACUGAGCUUUUGUCCAUGUGUAAAAUUUAUUAGCAGUAGGUGAAGAAAACCAGCAUUUUAUCAAUGAUUGCUUUUUUUAUUCAACGAUUGCUUAUUUCCAUUUUCUGUUAUUAAUUACUAUGUUGUUACAAUGUUGUGGCUCUUGUUUACCAGUUUUUGUUUGUUGAGACUUGAGACUAAAAUAUUACAUUUUUUUCAGAGAAAAUUGCCAUCACCUGGCUUCCAGGUUGAGGUUGUUCUAGUAGAUUAUGAUGGCUCACAAGCACCAAAACCAAAACCAGCUGCUGGAUCAGAUAAUAAAACUGAUGCUGACUCCUCGGGUAGCACAGUUGCUAAAGAAAGCAAUGCUGCACCUCCAGAAUCCAACAAGGGAACUGGAAGCAAUGAUAAAGAUGAAGUUUUCUCCGAUAGUGAAGGGGAAGAUGGAUCAUCCAAGGGAAGAAAGGAGAAGGCUUCCAGUGGUGGUCAAAGCAAUGCAAAUGCUGCUAAACCAUCUGAAACAAGCACCGUACAGGAGGAGGCAUCAGCUGCUGCUAGUAGACUGGAAAAAGUAGCUAUAACCAGCGAACAAGGAGCUGCAAAGGCACCGGAUGCUACAUCCCUCAAAACUGAAGUCAGCAGCAAAAGCAGCUCCACCACAGCACCAUCUCCAGCUGUUGACUCUUCCAGCAUGAGCGAAUUCAAGGCGAUUGCAGCAGAUGCCUCAGUGUUCUCGUUUGGAGAUGAAGAUGAUUAUGAAAGUGAAUAGUCACUUUCAUGGUGUUUGGUUCGCAUUGUACAGUUUGGUGCCUUCUGGGGGUCACCAUAGAAUGUCAGUUCAAAGCAGAUGGGAAGAGAAGUUGGAAAAAAAAAGAUUGAUUCAUUCUUGCAUUUUGUUUUCACUGUACAAGUUGCAUCAAUCUGUGAUGUUGUACCCAGAUGAACGUGUUGAAACUCAGGACUGGACUUUGUUGAUACCUCUCCUAUUUCUUCACAGGACUACUUUGUACACAACCUUAAACGGUGCAAUUACUUGAAUUCGAGUGUUACAGAAGACUUUGUAGAUGGGGCUUUUACAGUACAAAUUACCUUUUGAGCUUGUUUGGAAAGUUGCGGUUUCAAAAAUGCAAUUCCUGUUUAAACCGGAUCUAAGAAAUUUUCACAUCAGCACCCUUCUUUCAAAACUUGUCUAAUGCUUAUUUGGAAGUAGUAAAGGUUUGAGUGUAAGGCGUCGAAUGAGUUAUUUAAAAGUUAUAAAUCUUAUAAAUUUGUUUGUGUGCCGCAUCUAUGCGGCUAUGCCCAUUAAGUUUUGACAAAAGUGAAAAAAUAGACAUGGAAAGUGUGUAUGUAAGACCAUGAUUUCAGAAAAAAAAAACGUGGAAUCGCAAUGUUUUUAGUUACAUAGCGUGAAGUGGUGGUGCGGAUGUAAUUACACCAACGUACCCACGGGGGGAUAGUGAUCGAGAUCAUACUCAAGACAAAUCAAAGCUAUGCUAUCCUACAACGGACAACUACUUUUUAGGACUCGUUUGGCAGGACUGUGACUGAAACGGCUUCGGCUGUGCUUCCUCUAGUGGAACAGUUUUUUUUCUCUGGCUUGUCUGGUUAGAAAAACGUUUGGCAAAAUAGCUUCUCCUAAAUAUUGAAAACGGGCAAAAGGGGUAAAAUGUCUAUAAUACCCUUUUCUUUUUUUCUUUUUUCUUUUCUCUUUUCUUCCCUUUUUCCCUCUCCCCUUCCCUCUUUCUUAUUCAUUUGCCUCCCGAGACACCGCCGCUCGUCGCCUUGCCUCGCAUGCUCCCCCGCGCCAAUGGUUCCCUCCAGCCGGCAGCGGCGCCCUCCAGCCUCUCCUCAUCCCCUAUGCCAGUGAUGCCCUGCAGUGCCACCUCCUCCCCCACACCGGCGACACCCCACGGCGCCGCCUCCUCCCCCGCGCCAGCGAUGCCCUCCCAGCCCGCUUGCUCUCUCGCGCUGCCGGCACUCUCCGACCUCGCCUCAUCCCCCACGUCACCAGCACCCUUCGGGUCGCCUACUCCCCUGCGUCGUCGGGGUCCUCCGACCCCACCAUGGAGGGGGCAAACCGGGACUUUGGCCCCGUGGAUGAGAUGGAGUCACGAGGAGCCGUUUUUUUUUCCUUCAUCUUCAUCGAUUCGCUUCAAAGAGCAGGAAAUGCGAGGCUUCCGUCACGGAGCUAUUUUGCUCACACCCCUUUGGCAAGGAUUUCGUCAGAAGCUGGUGAUGAAACCGGUUGGGAAGCUCGGGCCUUAUUUUAACUACUUCCAAUUUUAAGUCACAUCUAGGACCAUUGGUAGUUGGUACGUGACAUGUUUUGUUAGCGAGGAUUAGUCCAUUUGCUGCCGCCAAAUAUUUUGAUCAUAACGGAACCUUCAGCACUAAAGUACUGAUCCUGACAGAUUGUUUUUCGUUUUCUUUUGAUGAAACCCCCGGGGAGAGGGGUGUAAGUUGAAUUAUCGUCUACUAAGGGGUAUUUGGAUAUCCCAUACUAAAGUUAAACACCUGUCACGAUAGAUGUUUAGAUGCUAAUUAAAAGUAUUAAACAUAGGCUAAUUACAAAAUUAAUUGUAUAGAUGGAGUCUAAUUCGCGAGGCGAAUCUAUUAAGCCUAAUUACUCCAUGAUUUGAUAAUGUGGUGCUACAGUAACCAUUUGCUAAUGAUGGAUUAAUUAGACUUCGUCUCGCGAAUUAGCAUAGGGUUCUGCAAUUAGUUUUAUAAUUAAUCCAUGUUUAGUCCUUCUAAUUAGCAUUCGAACAUCCAAUAUGACAAUGCUAAAGUUUAGCACUAGUAUCAAACACCGUAAAUGACUUUCUUCCGGCACGCGCACGGUGUACCCACGGCGUAACCACUUUCCGUUCCGGCACGGCGUGCAGUCUCCGUAACGCGCACGACCCCGCCACCCAUUAUUAGCCGUCAAGACUCAAUCGUUAGCCAUCUGACCAUCUCCAACCACCGCGAGUAGCCAGGUCCCAAUUCCCAAAGCGCGACGCAAGGAGAAACAGCACGGGCGAGCGACCUCCUCCGAAGCGAAGGGGCGACCCGCCCGCCCGCCGAAGGCCCCCGAGUCCGAGCCCGGUCCGGCCCAAGCGGCAGGUCGCCGGCGAUGCCGUUCCUCUCGACGCCGUCGUUCGACCUCUCCGCCGGCGCGGAGCCCACCCUGGGCCCGCGCCCCUCGGCGGUUCCCCCGCCCCCACCCACGCCGGCGGGCGCGGCCGCGCACCAGCACCAGCAGCCGCCGGUGUCGGAGGCGGCGGCGCGGCGGCUGCUGGAGGCGGAGGAGCGGCUGCGCGAGGCCAUCGAGGAGCUCCACCGGCACCAGGGCGGCUCGGGGAAGGGGGAUGGGGAUGGGGAUGGGGAGGGGGAGGAGCAGCGGGAGGGGGACUGGGGGUGCGGCCACGAGGGGGAGUCGUGCGCGGCGCACGCCGCGGGGAACCUCUGCCAGAGCUUCCUGCUCUCCUACGGCGUCCGCGUCGGCAUCGGCAUCCUCCUCCGCGCCUUCAAGCUCGCGCGCCGCAGGUCCUUUGGCUCGCUCCUCGACCUCAAGGUACCCAUCGUCGGUCCAAACCGCACCUAUUACUUCGCAUCGCCGCGCAGUUAGAUUGAGUGGGAUGAUAGAUGAAUCGAUUGCGGGAAUUUAGUUGGAGCUUGGGAUUGGAGUUUCAAAGUUAUGGUCCUUGGUUUGGUUGUUUCACUGGAGUAGAAUUGGCGAUUUUGCUUAGCUGAUGGAAAUGUGUUGGAGGGAUUGAGCAAAGGCCAGAUUCAUGUUGACAUUCUGCUGCUGCUGCUGCUGCUGCUACUGCUGCUGUUACAGCUGUCUCUUUCUCAGUGCAUAUUAGAAGAAUUAUCUGUAACAGACUGGCAAAAGUUAAAAUAUUUGAGGCAGCUGUUGUGGCAUUUGUAGUGCAUAUUCUAGUGGUAAGUCUAUGCCAGAGCUGAAUUGGUUGCUUUGACUGAUAUACCUACAGAAUGUUUCCUUCCAUUCAUUGAUUUGCGUUGAGGCUGCCCACGCCUCUGAUCCGAACAAAUAAACUUCCACCACUACUGUCUGUCUGUCUGCCUGCCUUUCUCACUGAUUCAUUAUUCACAAAUACUGUCCCACCACUGCUGACUGUCUUCCUUUCUCACUGAUUCAUUAUUUACAAAGACUGUCCCACUUCUGCUGUCCGCCUUACUCAUGUUUCAUCAUUUUUCAAUUAAAAAUGCUAAUUUAAAUAAAUAUUUUAAUUGCAGCAACUGGUUUCAGAGAAAGAUCUUAUAGUAAGAGAGGAAGCUUGCAGGGUUGGGUUACUUUUUGGAGGAUUUACUGGAUCGUAUCACGCACUUCGAUGUUUCCUUAGGAGAUUUAGGAAAAAGGAGACACCGUACAAUACGUAAGUACCUAUAUGCUUUGACUCCUUUGCCUAAAUUUCAGUACAGAUCCCUGGUUAAUAAGUCUAUGUCUAACCAGUGCUUAACCUGGUAGUCGCUAAUAGGUUCAUAUUAGACUAUUUCCUUGUAUAUUUUUUCCUCAAAUCAUAUUCAUGACUCAACUGAAGGGCGUGAUGGAGCAGAAUAUUAGCAGGUUCGGUGGCAGGAUUGGCCAUACUAGCACUAGAUGAUUCAAGUAGGAGGCGCACUCUAUCUCUAUAUCUUCUAGCAAGGCUCGCUCAGGUAGGGGGCAACUAAACAGUUUCCUUGUUUAUGUGGCGAAACUGGAUAAAUGACCUAUUAUACCGGAAAUAUUAAUUUAUUACUACUUAAUAAUUGCAGUGUGCAUAUAAUUCUGCAAAAUCUAAGAACAAAUUUCACUUUUGGGGAAGCCAUUGGAGACAUGGAGAUGCAUUGCUUUUUUCAUUGGCAUCUGCCCAGGUAACAAACUGUAGCUACCUAACAGAGUUUGCUUUUAUAUGAAUAUAAUUCUGUUAUGGUGGAAAAGGCUUAUGUAAUCACCAGUGUUAUGUUUCCAGGUUAUGUAUGCUUUUGUUAUGAGGCCCGAAAGCUUACCUAAGUCGUACCAAGAAUUCAUCCUUAAGACAGGACCAGUAGCGGAACCUGUCUACAAGGUUGUUAGAGAAUGUUGUAGAGGUGGUCCUGUGGAUCUAAAUGCCCUCUCAGCCUAUUUAUCAAACAAGAGGAAUUCAGAUUUGAUGCAUUUAACAACCAAUCCAUCCAUUAUUCCGUGUUCCGUGAUUCAUCCUGACAGAGCAUCAUGCUUGGCUCAAAAUGUUCAUGUUGUUUCAUCAACAUUCAAGAAAACAUUCCCUCUAUAUUUCUCAUUGACAUUUGUACCCUUUGUUGUUCUACGUCUUCAAAAGGUAAUUCACUAGCCAUUCUAUUUCUUUAUUCUUUUUAACAUUCAGCUAUUUUACCGAAACCUGAUAUGUUCUUGCUAUUAUCUGCGUACAAUAUUUUUCUCUCCUAUAUAACUUAUGCGUCGACAAGAUAAAAUCAAGUCAUAUUGUGCCACUAUCUUUUUACUGUGCCUGCAUAACAUGCUUGAAUUUUGCUACACGCAAUAAUCUUGCAUCAUUUUAUUCUGCCAAUGAAAUCAUUUUCUCAACCACUAACAACCCACAAAACCUAGUAUAAUGUAGCCAUUUGUUGUAUAUAGUCUUUCUUUCUGCUGAUGUGUAUCCACCUUAUGUCAGUGAGCUAACUCAUGAUUUUUUUAAAAAUAAAAAACACUAGUUCCUGGAAUCGCCGGCUGCAACUUGUUGGCGUGCUCUUGUGGGUGCAGUUCGCUCCACCACCUUUUUGUCUGCUUUUGUAACUCUAUUCCAGGUAAUUUUUCAUAGCAGCAGUACAUUACUUCACUCAUAACUAUUUCAUGAUUCUGAUAGCAUUCUUGCAUGUUGGUAGGCUGCUAUAUGUUUGCACCGAAAAGUUGCAAACAAAGACCACAAAAGUGUGUACUGGUUUGCUGGUUUGAUGUCAGGUCUUUCAAUUCUUUUGGAAAAGAAAGCUAGAAGGGCUGAGCUUGCCCUCUAUGUGCUUCCCCGUGCUGGAGAUUCUCUAUGGUAUAUAUUGAUCAACCGCCAGCUGCUCCCAAAUAUUAAAAAUGCUGAGGUAAUUUUGCAUAUGGUCCCUCCCACUUCCUUGCAUUCUGUUUUUUAGUUAUCUAAUUUUGUUCAAAGUAAGCUACGAGGUAAAGUGAACAGCAUUUCCCCUUUUUCAAAAUAAUUUCAAUUUUUUGUGAUAUACUUCCUCUGUCCCAAAUUGUAGAUCGUUUCGGCAUUUCUAGGUGCAUAUAUUUUGCUAUUCAUCUAGAUAUACACUAUAUCUAGAUACAUAGUAAAAACUAUGUAUCUAAAAAUGCCAAAACGACCUACAAUUCAGAACGGAGGGAGUAACACAUUAUGUUGUUUGCUGUUAUGGCUGCAAAGGAUCUUACAAUACAUAACCUUGUUCAAAGCUGUUAUGGCCAUUGUGCUCCUUGGCUAUGUGCCAACUAAUGUUUCAUUUCUCCAUCUCUCCUAUAGGGAGCGUGCACAAGUUUUAAAGCAUCACAAGGCAGAGUUAGAUGUAACUUGUAAUCUGCCCUUGGUUUAUGUUUUAAAAUCUGUGCAAUUCACAAAGGGCGGAUAAGACACUUUUUUAGGCUAGUAAUUUUAGAUAGCGACAAAGGUAUUGAUUCAACUAGUUGUCCGGUAAUAGUUCCUCUGGUAUCCAGUAAGGCAAGAUCCAAUCAGAUGUUAACUGGAUGUAGUGGCAGAAUGGUGUGGUUGUUGCUUUACAGUUACUUAUUGAUCACCUUGGUGGGUUUUUAAAUUCUCACAGUUUGGUGUUAACUUUUUUUCCCAUAAAAAAUAAGGAAGUGGUACAAUUAAAUGUGAUAAAAUCUUAUUCAAUGAUGCAAAUCAUACAUAAAGUGAGUGCAAAUUCCGCAGUUGCUGGUGGAUUGAUUUUUAGAAGCCAGUUGGACCUUAAUGUCCGAAUUAUUUUGGCAUAAUGCACUCACCAGACUCCGAGUGAUAACUCUGAGCUGACUGUUUUUUUUUUGUUUUUUUUUUGGGCAUGGUGGUGUUUACUUUGGCAUGGUAGUGUUUUUUUUGGACAUAUGCUGUUUGACAGUAUAAAGUUAAGAUUGGGAAGUUUUGAUGCUGGUACCUUGAAGUAUAUCUUGUAGCUAGAUGUUUUCUCUUUGUAAAUCUUUCAGUUUUCCUGUGUAGCCUCAUAGCAUCCUGGAUCAACCGACCCAGCAACUGCCAACCUUUCAUAUUUCAAAAACAGUAACGUGGCAACCUUUGCAGGUGGCUCUCUUCUGCAUGUGCAUGGGAGGAAUCAUGUACUUUCUGGAGUACGAGCCGGACACUAUGGCUCCAUUCCUCAGAGGCCUCAUCCGGCGCUUCCUGGCAAGCAAGAUCAGCAACCCGAGCCCCCCUCCCCCCAAUCGCAACACCUCGCACUCGUACCUUCAGACACUGAAUGCUCUGGAGCAAUCAAGAACCCAGCCAGGUGUAGAUAACGGACUGCCGACAUCAGAGAAGUACAACCUUGAAUCAAUUCCUGGACUUUAGAAAGCUCGUCUGUGGUACUGAUUACAGGGUCUUGUAGCUUCGGAGAAUCAGUAAAUCUAACCAAAUUAGCACCCAUCACAUGUGCCAUCCUGAGGUACAGAUGGGUUUAAAUUUCUUUGUGCGGGAGUGGUGUGAUAUAAAGCAAUUUCUCCUGGUUCUUAUUAAUUGUACAUGGAGUGGCAAAGAUUACCGAUGGCAAGGAGUUGCCGUGUUUUGGUCUUGCAACAGAGAGUUUGUCAAUAUGCAUAUAUCUGCUCCUGUGUUUUGGGAAGAUAUUGUACAUUUGUUUCUGUUACUUGUGCGGAAUGGCCACAAACAACUCAUUUUGUUCUUAUACCCUUCUGUCUAGAAUAUAAUUUGCCCUCUUUUGGAAUUGGUUAGCGGUCAAACUUUUUGACCUUUUAGAUUCUUGACAAGGAUAUAGACCAUGUUGAUAUCCUACAUGUAUUUUUUUUAUUAGAAAGGGCAUUCUUUAACACGCUGAGUUACAUUAGUGUAAGACUGAUACGUAGGUCUUUGACAUAAUCUUUCACAACAUGAUCCCUAGAGCUGGUUAGAACGCUCUCCAUAAAUCUUAAAGGCCUUGUUUAGUUACCUCAAAAUUCCAACUUUGGCACUAUGCAAAAAGAAGAUUCUCGAUCACAUCAAACUUACGGUACAUGCAUGGAGUACUUAACGUAGACGAAAUGGAGUACUGAACGUAGACGAAAUCAAAAACUUAUUGUACUGAACGUAGACGAAAUCAAAAACUUAUUGCACAAUUUGGUUGUACUUUACGAGACGAAUCUUUUGAGCCUAAUUAGUCAAUAUUUGGACAAUAAUUCACAAAUACAAACGAUAAUUGCACAAUUUGGUUGUACUUUGCGAGACGAAUCUUUUGAGCCUAAUUAGUCAAUAUUUGGACAAUAAUUUACAAAUACAAACGAAACGCUACAGUAUGCUACAGUGCUGGCGCAGUGAUUUUGGUUGUCCAAAAUCGGGCAACUAAACAGGCCCAAACACAAUGCUCCCCAAAACUGGUCAAAAGGCUCUCCAUAGAUGUGUGUACUGCGGCGAUGCUUCACUUAUUCCUGCUAUUUCCAUACUUCAGGAUGUGUACCAUCUCUAUCUCGGUUGGCCUUCCACAUUUUUUCAUACCAAAAGCUAAUGCAUAGCUACAUUUGGACAAACUACCGCUAUAUGUUAUGAUGUCUGAAUUUAAACUAUCAAAUAUAAUACCAGAGAUUACCCUUUGCCAUCCAUGAUCCAUUUGGACAACGGCAUUUUUUAAAAUUUCUUUUCACGACAGCCGCUACUUCCUUUUAAGACUUUCAGCAAAAAAUGUUAAUGUUUGAAAAUUCAAAUAUUGGAGCAAAAUCGACAAAUUUGAUGUGAGUCCAUUUGAAACCCCCUCCUUCCUCUUUCAAAAAGGUCGAAAACGACCCGUGCCCGCCCACCCGCCCGCUUCCCCAUCCAAACCCUCGGCGGCGGCGGCCGGCGACCAUGUCCCGCUGGAAGGAGAAUGCCUCCCCUCACCACCUCCACCCGCGCGGCGCUCCCAACUCCUCCCCACUCCUCCCCUGCAAGCGCCCACUGCAAUCGCCAUCCCCAUGCCCGCCUCCGCGCCGGCCGCUCGCGGACGUCACCGGCAACGCGCUGGAGCAGCGGGGCGGCGGGGAGACAAGCGGGUACGGGUACGCCACUCCCCUCCCGAAGGCGCCUAGGCCGUGCGGGUUCCUUCUGGCCGACGACGAUGACAUGGACGAGGCAUUCUUGCGGGAGGUGGACGCCAUCUGCGAGGAGCACGCGCGAUCCACGGCCAGGAAGGAGGAGAAGGAGAAGAAGCUGGUGGAGGAGGAUAAGGGGACGAGUGAAGGGCCGCUUGCCGCGGUGGCGGCGAUGAUUGACGACGCCGGAGCAGAGGUAGCAACGGUACGUCUUUGGUUUCAUGAUGCGCCUGGAAAUGGGGUUACGGAUCGUGGGGGUGCAUUUCAUUUACGAAUGCGGAGUUGUUUAGAUUUUAAGGGAAUGCGGAGAGCUGAGACAUUGGGGGGCAGUUGUUGUUUGAAUGUUUGUUGAAAUGGGGUUCGCUUUGGAAUGGGAAUAUCUGUAUGCUGUUAGUUUCAAUUUUUGAAAAUGAACUCACAUUAUUGCUCCCUAUUGUGGGUGGAAUUCAGCUGGAGGAUGCAUUCUGGGAGGAGGUGAAUGCCGUCUGUGAGGAGUUUGAUGCCCAUUCUGAUGCAAAGAGCCAGGAAGGGGUGAAGGAGGAGCCGGUGCAGCAGCAGCAACAGCAGGAGGAGGAGAAAGAGGAGGAGGAGGAGGAGAGCUUGGUGCUGUCCUGUGGUGAUGCUUCACUUCCUCCUGUUAUUUCCAUCACAGCGGAGGGUGGGGAGGUAUGAGAGUAUUUUUUGUUCAUAAGGCUUGUUUCUGGUUCCAUGGAUCAGUGUCAGUAGAGAAAAAUUGGGAAGUUUUUGUACAGUGCAUUGAAUUGUUUUAGAUUUGGGGAACAUCCUUUAAAUAUGAGAGUGCACUGGAGUAACUUCCUUAAAGUCUUGUUUCUUUAACUGAAACGGGAGUCAGGAAAAACCUGUGAAGCAUAACAAAAUUCAUGUUUAUUGAUAUAUGGCAGGGGAAGAUAGGGAAAUGAAUGUGGAGAAUUUGGGAUCCAUUAUCUUUUGAAAUGCUACUCAGAUUUGGUUGAGGUGCUUGAUUUGUAAGAAAAUUUAUGUGUUCAAUUUCUUUUGAGAUGAAUUCAGUUUGAAGAUUCAUUCUGGAAGAUCAAUGCCAUUAGCGAGGAGCACAAGUGUCAGGAGGCUAUGAUGGAGAUGGAGGAAAAAGAUGACUUGAUAGCAUUAUGUGGUGAUGCUUCAGUUUCUCCAGUAAUUUCCAUUGCAAUGGGGCCCGAAGAGGUACAUAUUUUUUUCUUAACCUCAUAGAAUGAAAUGAUGAAUAGUUGUAGACUUGUAGGACAUCAGGCAGUUCUUGUUUCCUGUGUCUAGGACUGAGGAAGAGGAUCAGUAUAACUAGAAAUUGAAUUGAGUAGGUUUGGUUUGGAAUCAAGUUUCUAACUGAGUUCAUUUGAUUCAUUUUCUCUUCGGAUAUGUUUAGCUUGCUGAUGCAUUCUAUGGGGAGGUUGAUGCCACCAUCCAUGAGGGGCAUCCUGACAUUUCUGCUGCCAAGGGCAAUGAGGAGAUGCAAUAUAUGGAACUAGAAAUAGAGGGUGAUGAAGGGUGUGCUCCAAAAAAGUACUAUGAAUAUUUGCACUCCUUGAACGAUAGGCAGAGGGAGGCUGCAUGUAGUGAUGUGGCUGUUCCACUAAUGAUUGUUGCUGGUCCAGGAAGUGGAAAGGUAUACAUACUUGUCAUUUUAUCUUUCGUGUAUUCAGAGUGUAUUUAUUAUAUUUUCUUAGCAUUCAAUAUUAUAGAUAUAUGAAAUAUAGUUUAACUCUUGCCACCACUUGAUUACCCUAAUUUCAAUAUAUAUUCUUUGAUUAUAAAGUUCAACUGUGUCCAAUUGUUUCAGUUGCUUUGCUCUGUCGAGGUAAAUUUUAUGCAUGGUUUGACAUGUUUACAGAAUCAUUUUAACAGAUCAAGAGUAAUACACAACACAAAUGUAAAAAAAAAAUCCAUACCUUUUGUUCAUGUAGCUGCUACAAGUAAAUAAGCAAAGUAAACACUGAUUUGAAAUGUUACCAAAACCCAGAUUGUGUGAUUCACUGUGACAAAAUUAUACCAAAUAAGUACUAAACUACAUCGCCUGGGCUUUAUUCUUCCAAACGAUAAAAUGAUUGUAGAUGAACUGACAACCAUGGUUUUUUUUGUCUGCAUCUUCUUUUGAUCUCUCUAAAAUGGUUGCAUGUGUUGUGUCUGUGGGUGAUUCACAUAUAUUAUUAUGUUUUGGAUUUUGCAAAAUGCGCCAUUUAAGUUUAACUGAACUGUAUUGAACCUGUUGGAACUCCUACAAUCUUGUGACUAGUUCCAUGCUUUGGUAUAUACUAACCCCCCUGUAACUGGCAUGACCCAAAGACUUCCACAAUGGUUGGUAGGGUGCUCACACUGCUCAAAGAGGUAUGGUUAUUGUCUGAUAUAAUCACUAUAUAAGUAAUAUGUAAUGACAUUCUAAACUCACAUAACCGUAAAUCUCCUUCUCAUGACUAGGGAAUUCCACCAUCAAACAUUCUCGCUAUGACAUUCACCACAGCUGCUGCCUCAGAAAUGAGGGAUCGGAUAGGGAAAGUGGUGGGAAAGGCAGUUGCCAAGGAGAUUGCAAUAAGCACAUUUCACUCAUUCUGCUUGCAGCUUUGCAGGACACAUGCUGAAAAGUAUGUCUUUUCUGGUUGUAGUAUACUUUAUAGUACAACAGAUUUCUGUACGCUUCUGCUCAACCAACUGAAUUACCUCAUAUUAUUAAUGAAAUCACUGAUGUACAAAACUUGCGUUGGAUAAAUAUGAAAGUUACCGGAUGGAAUGGAGCUUGCACAAAAAAAAAACUGCAAACAAUGUAAACUAUUCUUAUCAAGAUUAACUUAGAUUGGUUUUCAAUUGGGAUGAUAAUCAAUCAAAAGUUCGAGAUACAAAGAUGAUCAUGAUCAGUUUGAAGAUUUAUCAAACUGCUUAUAGUAGAUAACUGUGCACUCCAAUGUCUCAGUAUAUAACACUAUCUAAUGUCACGAUCUUGUUUCUUCUUUAUGCUCUCUUUUUAAUACCUUGCUCUUCCUUACAGUUUAUCAAGCUUACUCACUUUGCAGCUACUUGAACACUUGGAUUAUGUACACAUUAUUUAAUAUUUUUCAUUUUUUCCUUUAUGGCCAUUUGAAGGCUAGGCCGCACAUCUGAAUUCAUAAUCUAUGGACAUGGACAACAACGAAGAGCCGUUAUCGAAGCGGAGCGUUUAUUGGAAAAUGACAAAAGAAGUGGUGCUGAAGAAUCAACUAAACAGUAUGAAGGGGACAUAAAAGGUUCUUUCAAGGACAAAGCUAAGAAGUGGCAGAAGUUUAUUGCACAGGUGCCUUCUACUUUUGAUGAUUUCAUCAGAAAUAUUUGUUUCCAAUGCUCUCUUUGCACUGUUACAUAGGAGUUUAUCAAAGGGACUAGGCAGUCACACUCACAUUUUCUUACUGUUAUACCUUUUUUUAAAGUUGCGCAGUAAGGUUCUGUCGGCUAAUUUCCACCUUGCUGCCACAAAUGCACAGCCAAAAAUAUUAAAGGAACUUUAGUGUGCUUCCAAGAUAUUGUUCUGGAGGCAUAGAAAGCCAAAUGCAGUAAUGGAUCACUCCAAGUUUCUCAGAAACAGUAAAAGAAACUGUAGUUAGGAUGACAUCCUUAAUUGUGGACCAUAUUUAGCUAUAUCCUGAACAUAAGCUGUUCACUUCAUGUGCUUGAAUUAUAGUCAUGGUGUGGAGCUUCAUAUUGUGCACUAUUCAUCGUGGAACAUAUUGGUCUAUGCUGUUGGGCUUGCUAUUAGAAUGUCUACCACACUGGAGCCUUGUGGAUCAAACCAAUCAAUGUGGUCUGUCUGGAAGCAGUUGUCUCUAGGGGUUUUCAGGAAAAAUAAAUUUGACAUCCACAAUGUGGCCUGUUUUGUUGCCAUUUUAACCUUUAUGGUAGUUGCAUUUUGUUUUUAUCGUAUCUUUCCACCUUUCUUUAAAGGCAAAAGCUUCAGGAAGAACUCCAGAGGAGUAUGAAAAGAAGGGUGACUUGACAGGAGUAAGCUCUCCUACUUUGUGUAAUUCAUUUUUUCAUACUUCAUUUUGAUGACCAAAUUGACGUUUGCCUGCAUUUUUUUUUGUGUAGGCUUCUGUUCUUCGGCAUUACAAUGAAAUAUUAAUAUCUUGUAAUGCUCUUGAUUACCAUGAUUUUAUAAACUCAUCCAUAACUCUUCUCACGAAGUUUCCUGAAGGUAGUUUGAUAGUUUCAGUUCAAAUGUCAGAACAUCAUUUACUUUGAUGACUUGUUGAUUAAAAGGGUGUGUUCCUUGCCUGUGCAGUAUACAAAGAGUGCCAGGAUAUGUGGCAGGCAGUAGUAGUUGAUGAGUUUCAGGAUACCAGUGCUAUGCAAUACUGUCUUCUGAAGAUUCUAGCUUCCCACAAUCACAUAACUAUUGUUGGUGAUGAGGAUCAGGUACACAAAUUUGAUAUACAUCUAACAUCCUAUAACUUUUGGUUUCUGAAUUACUUUGUCUUGUCUUAUGUUAGUCCAUCUUCAGUUUCAAUGGUGCUGAUGUAUCUGGCUUCGAUUCAUUUCGUAGAGAUUUCCCAAAUCACAAAGAGGUAACAGGGUUGUGCCAUUUUCUGCAUGGGAACUUUCAAGUUAUCUUAGUCCUGUUUUUUUCUAUUAAGUAGCUUGAUAUGCCAAUGACUGCAGAUCAGGUUGAGCAAGAACUACCGCUCCACACGUGCAAUUGUUGAAGCAGCAACCGCUCUAAUUCACAACAACACUAAACGGCAUCAUCAUAAGCUUGUUGAGACUGAUAACCCUUCUGGUUGUAAGGUAUCCUUAUUUGUUACCAUUUGUUAUUGCAUCACCUUUUUUAUUUACUUAUAUAAUCUUUAACUUUGCAUAGAUCACUGUGAAGGAGUGCCACAGUGAAGAUUCUCAAUGUGCAUUUGUUAUUGACAAAAUUAUUGAAACUACGUCUACUUCAGCUGACAGCUGUAACUUUGGCAACAUUGCUGUCCUGUACCGAAGACAGGUUGAAAGUUUUUUGUAAUCUAUUUUGAUUUUGGAGUAUAUUUUGGUUAUGCUUGCGAGUUGCGACCUAAUUUUCUCCUACAUAGAUAACUGGAAAAGCGUUCCAAGUGGCAUUCCGCAACAGAAAAAUUCCCUUUAAUGUCCAUGGUGUUGCUUUCUACAGAAAGAAGGUAUCUGAAUUUAGUUUACUUCGGACAUUCAUUGCAGAGUAGAAAUUUCUCAUGGUUUUCUGUCUUUCCUUCAUAGCUAUCAAUUUUAUAGUCCUUGGUGCCAGUAACAUUUUCAAAAGCUUGCAAAUUUCAUAUGCUUUCCGAAUUAGCGACCUUUAUUUAUCUUGUAAGGAAUGCAAAGAACUUCCUCGAACAAUUUACAUGUUCAUAUGUUAUUUUUAGUUCUUGACACAAAAUACUGAUACAUUAUAUCUAUAUACUUGUAUUGACUGGAUUGCUGUAAGAAAUAGUCACAUAGCUAUUGUUUCUCUAUUGUUCCAGAAUUUAUUGCAUAUUAUUUUUUUUGUUUGCCUUACCGUUUGUCUUGAAAAGAUGGCUGGCCUGAGCUUGGCAUUUUUUUCAUUAACAAAUCCUAAGCUUAUCUCAUCUUUUCAUUUUAAUAUAUGGGUAGGGAAGCAACAGUACUUGUUAUUUCACUAUUAUUUAAUAAUUACGUAACAAACCUGUGAAUCCAAAGACGGCAAUAAUCCUCUGCAUACUAUCAAUUAUGUGACAAUGUUGGUGCUUUGCCAUGCAAUUAUUCUAGGUGAUCAAAGCUAUCAUGGCAAUACUUCGAACCACAUUACCUGGCUGUGACGAUGGCCCAUGGCGUCAAGCCUUCAAGGCCCUUUUACCUAGUGACAAAGAAGAAAAGAAGAAGGUUCAACUUUUACCCAAUUUAAUUCUUCUAAUUUUGUACCCUUUGGUGUGUCAAUCUGCAUAAAUUUGAUAAAUUUUCGGUGCUUUCUAACUUUCAGAUUAUAGAUCAUGUUGAAAAGAUUUCACUGGCUAGAAAGUGUAGUUUUAUAUCCGCUGCUACUGACAUCUUCAGUGCAAAGGUCUCUGGUACCUUCAAAAGGUUGUUCUCUUUUCCUUGUUUACUUACUGUUCUCAAACAUCAUAAUUUCACUGCCAAUUGUGUUAUUUUUCUAUCUGAUGAUCCUUAUACACACUUUUUUAUUUUUCUCUCUUUCUGCUCAAGGAGUGACAAAUGGUUGCUAGCUGCUUGACAGCAAUCGUGAGAUGCAUGCAUUACAAGAAUCGAACUUGCACAUCUAGCAUAUAGUUUUUUUUUUUUUGGGGGGGGGGAGCCAUUAUAUUCAUUUUUCUUUUAAUUAAAAUUAAUUGUUCUUUGAAAUGAAACCUGUUAAUGAAAAAAGAACCAUGUAUGCAUGCUCUCAUUAUUAUACGGGGAUGAUUAUUGUGUAUGCUGAUAUGCAUGUUGCGUGUGCUUUGAGCAGCCCAACUGCUGAACUGCCUCCCAUUUGAGUACAACCAUUGACCAAUUCCCAUUUUGAUGCUAGUCUUACCACCUUUCUUCUUUACGAGCUAUUGUUAUUGAUGUUAUUUCCAUGCUCAAGGAUUGAGUGCAGUACGACUUUAUUAUGAUUGUCUCAUUUUGUUGACUGUAGGGCCCAGAUUACUCAAGGACGUAAGGUUUUAUCGACCUUGGAUAGCCUAUCAAAACUUGUUGAGAGGGUAUGGGGCAUUUGUACCUACAGUGUUACUAAAUCCACACAUAUUAAGUAAAAGGAAAAAUGAUUCAUAAAGAAAAUAAACAUCUAUAAAAAUUAGAAAGUAGACUUAGAUCACAAAUUUGAGUUCUUGAGAAAAAAAAAUCUUAUUCUGUUUGAUCCGAAAUAUAUGUCCAUUUAGCCUUCUUCCGAAUGCAGCAAAUAUUAGUCCAUAACGACUCCAAUGCAACAUUUUGUUUCAAUCUUUCAUGUGUGCCCCAUCCUUUAAUGCACCCUAAUAAUUGCAGUAAACUUGCCAGCUAUCUUAACUCUAGCAAUAAUUGAUGGGCAAUAGGGUUACUGUACCUCUUUACCUUAAUUCUUGUGCCCAAGACCCAAGUCCAAAUGGACUUGUAUUUGGGAUCGGAGGGCGUACAAAAGUUGAGCAAUUAUCAAUGGUUAUAGUAGUACUUUAUUUCCCUAAAAUAUGCUUGUAUUGUUUAAAAGGUUCAUAUUAUCUUUUUGUUAGUUCUUCAGGAGCUAUAAUUUUUUUUAAAAAUUUGAAUGUUACAGGAACAAUCAGUUUCAGUCAUCAUUUCCUCUGCAGGAGACAUGCUACCUCAGGUACAGCUAACUUGUUGCAAUGUAUUCAAUGAUCUGCACCUUUAGUGUAGUGUUUUCUCACUUUCAUUUAUGAUCUGUGAAUUGUUGGGACAGAAAUAAAUGCCUUUAAAGGAAAAGUUCUUUUUUAAAACAGUAAAUAGCUUAUCCCUGUUAGUUUAUAUGUGCAGUUAGUUCACGACUUCAUGAUGUAAUAAUUUAAUUCAUGUAAUGAAAUCAUGAGAUCAUUCUGCGGUACAACAAUAGAAGUUCAGUGAAGCAGGGUUUAGAUGGCAAUUUGGGCAUGGCUUUCCACCCAUUCCUGUCAUCAUUGGGUAAUGCCUUUUUGCCCAUGAGACCAAGGUCCUGUUUGUUUUGGUGUUGCGGUCGCGGUGCGGCAGCCAACCGUGAGAAUCCCGCAGAACGGGCCGCGGCGGCCGCGCGUUACCGCGCCGCGAUGCCCCUUCCCCCACUGCGACAUGCCUAGGAUCGCACCGCGCUUAGCCCCCCGCGGUAUGAGUAAUCUUCCUGAUUUUUCCCCUGAUACCCUCGCUCUCCCUCCCGUUCCUCCCUCUCUGGCGCUAGGGUUCGCAUGGGUGAUUAUUUGUUGAACUAAUUGGUACUUCAAUGAUUUGGGAUGACUUGGCUAGUUCAAUGACUUGGAAUGUAGUUCAAUGACUUGGAAUGUAGUUCGAUGACUUGGAAUGUAGUUCAAUGACUUGGAAUGUAUUAGUAAUUAUUUUAUUAAAAUUUGUGUUUCACAAACUUCAAAAAUAUUGUCAAAAUCAUGCACUCAUGAAUCAAAUGAGCUAUCAUCAGUCAUAGGGGUCUACAGGUCAUUUUACACUCAAACAGAUAAUCAGCUACAAAUAAUCAGGGUUGCCAAACUCCCUGCUUAUCCAGCUAGUCAUGCACUCAUGAAUCAAAUGAGCUACAUCAGUCAUAGGGGUAUACAGGUCAUUUUACACUCAGAACAUAUAAUCAGCUACAAUUAAUCAGGGUUGCCAAACUCCCAGCUUAUCCAGCUAGCAGAUUCUCUCUACAGCAGAUUCUCAGACAAUCGAUUCUCAGAUAAGCUCAAACAAACAGGGCCCAAAUAAAAUGAAAAAGAAUGCAUGCCUUGGUGAACUAACAAACAAGAGAACAAGUUGUUGGACUACAUUUGCAUGGGCAGAACUUUAGUCCUAGACUCCUGGUAGUGUGCCUGUGGACUAAAAACCAAGAUUGGAACCCAUCAAGAUUUCCUGGUCAUCCCUAGGCAGGAUGGACCCUAUCAUAAAACGCUAAACGAUUGGAGGAAUCAAUCAUCUAGCAAAGCACCAUGCACGUUUACUAGCUUGUCAUUCUAAACCAUAUCACCAUAAUGUUGGAUUCGGUCAUUGUGACAUUAUUGUUUACCAUGCAUAGUUUGAAACUUGGUCUACAAUCAAUCAUGCCAGGCACCUAGUGUAAAUUAUUUAUGCUGUACAAAAUACAAAGUUAUGCAAUAGACCUACAUAUUAUUUUUGGGUUGACAAUAAACUUGUCAUGAAUAUCCUUGUACCAAUGGGGACAUCUGUGUAGCCUAUUCAUGGAUAGAAUGUUGUUGGUAAUUGAGGUCAUGAAUCAUGAAUUUGAGUUCCCUCUCCUUGGCAACAAAGCUGUUCAGAACUUCCUCCUAUGUGGGGUGCAUCUCCCAUGAAAAUGGCCAAUUGUUGGAGAUUUUAAAAUUUCACUGCAAACAUUGUUUCUACCUGUUGCAAACAUUGUUUCGGAAUAUUGUGCAGUCUGAAUAUCAGGAGAUGCUCAACAUUGCUUGUCUUCUUGUCCUACCAAACCUUGAGGCAGUUUUAGCUUACCACUGCUAAUCUUUGUUAAAUAUUUGCAUCUGUUUUUUUAUCCAAUCUCUGCUAAAUUUUUUAUUCCAUUUCUUUGGCAGAAAUAUCUCCUUGAAAAACGUGCAGUUGUUGAUGUUGACAAUGGCAAAUUGUUAAAUGAAGAUAGUGAUAUCAGAUCAGUAAGUUCAAACCCUAUUGUGCACUUAUUUUAUACAUUUAUGUUUCAGAAAAUAUUAGGUUGGAGAAAUUAUUUUAAAUCAUUCUGGAUGUGGCAUACACAAGAAGUGACAUCAGCUUUUGUUGGAUCAGUGCAGGUUCUUCAGUUUUUAAUGGAUGAUGUGUCUGACUUCUUGUCAACACAUUUUUCUAGUACAAUGGAGAGUAGCAAGACCGAGGAGAAAGGCUGUGCUUCUACACUUCAAGCUUUUAUUGAUUAUAUAUCUUUGAGGGAAACUGAAAAUUUUCGAUCUCGAAAGGAGGAAAAUAAGAAUUCGAUCACAUUAACAACUAUUCAUCAGGUUAUUGAUCUCUUGAUAUCAAUUAGUAUUGUUUUGCUGUGUCAUUAGGUAAUCCUGUGAUGCUACGAUAAAUGAUGAUAUUUCCUUUUCAAUUUGCAGUCAAAAGGUUUGGAGUGGGAUGUUGUGUUCAUUGUGCAGGUAUUUUCUUCACUCUUUAGGAGGAGCUUACAUAAAAAUACCAAUACUUUGUCACAUAUGUAGUAUUAGACAGGCAGGCAAGGCAGCCACCUAGACGGUCUACGGGUCUAGUGGUGAUUAUGUGCGAAGGCUGCCUCCAAUGGUUGAGCUAGUGCAUUAGCUCUUAGCUUGUCCAUCUCAUACAAGAGAUAGCAAAAAGAUUACACCUCCAAUGGUUUGUCUAAUAGCACAUUGUUCAAAGCAUCUUGGGUUUACAAUCUCUCUCAUCAACAAAGCGUGGAGCCUACUUUUUUUCUGAGCUAGCUCUUGAAGAAGAGAUAGUACACCUUCUCUCCUCAUCUUCUCUCUUUCAAGUAAGCAAAAUGAUGAGUUGGAUUCCUAUGAGCUAGCUGGGGUGUUAUUGUUGGAGGAGGCCUAAGCUGGAGUCUAGAUGGGCUUGGCAGAGUUUUUUUUCCAAACAGUGUGUGGCAAAGUAAUCACAUGUACAGGGAAAAUGUACCAACAGAACUGAUAGAAUGCUAACAAUUUUUCCCCAUAAUUUGGUGACACACAGCAAAGUAUUGAAGGUCAAUGAUGAGUUCAAAUAACAAUGCACUAAUUUAUGGCUUUAUCAUAAUAAAUGUCUGUUUCAUGUAUACUGAUAGUAUCAGCAACUAUGCUAAUUUAUCUUAAUGCAAUGAUGCGCAGCUCUCCUACAUACUUGAGAGAAAAAAACUAUGUGAAUUUGUCAAGAAGGUAUUUUUGAUGUUAAAUCCUUCUUCAUACAGGCAAAUGAUUCGGAAAUUCCUUUGUUGCAUGAGUACAAUGGCACUGUGAAAGAAGCUGGAAGCACACUAGAGGUUUGUUCAAAAAAUAAUCACAUGUAUGUCCUUAAUGUACAUACUUGGUGAAUUGUUCAAAAUUUUCAGGAGGAGAGAAGGCUAUUCUACGUUGCGAUGACACGAGCUCGGAAAAAGUUGUACAUUUUGCAUGUUACAGUUGACUCUAAUCGUCAGGCAGGUUAUUGUGUAUUGAUGCUUAUGUUUAAGCAAUAUCAUUUUUCUGACUUACUCUAUUUGUUUACAGCUUCUGCAACCUUCACGUUUCCUCAGGGAAAUUCCUGUUCACCUUCUAGAGGUGCAGGUGAGCAAUACAUUGGGAUCUAGUUUUACUAUGUCUACUCCUUUCCUAUAUGAGUAACAUAUUUCCUUAUUUUAUUGAUGGCUAAGGUAAGAAUGCAAGUGGGUCGACCAAAAACCCAUGCCACUCAAUUUCCACCUAAUUAUUUGUACAUAUAAUUGGUAACUAAAAUAACUAGGAUGAGUCAAUAGGGAUAUUUCACUCACUUUCAUCCCUAGCCAAAGGACUUUCCUGAGUUCAAAUUAUCCUCUGUUCCUUACUGUUAAAAAUCCCCAUACAAGCCUAUUUGUUUACUUCUUUCAUCAUCAGUCAUACUCAUGUUGUAUCUUAUAUGUACAUAAUUCUUCACAGUUUUUUCUUUUGUUAACUUGCAGGGCGAGGAGACUCUCAGAAAAAUUCCAGAACAGCCUUCAGGGAAUGUUCCUUUUGAUGGUCCGGAAGGGGAUACAUCAAUUGGAAAGCCUAUUAUGGAACAGAACGAAACUUCGCCUUGUCCAGAACUGGCUCAGUCAUGCCUUGCUAAUGAUUUCUUGAGAAGGUAAAUCAUCUUUAUGUUAUCUGAUAUUUCAUUUUUAACUUUGCCUGUGGGUAGUUGGAGUUUUCUAGUGCCUAAAGAAGUUAUUUCUCCUUUGCACAAUCAUUUCAGUUCCUGAAUAACAGAUUCAUCACAUUCAUGCAGAGCUAGCUUUGCUACAUUACUUUACAUUUGUUCCCUCGCUUCACUUGAUUCAUUAAUCUGUUUAUAGGUUUGACAUUGAUGAUAGAUCGGUAGUCUCACAUAUAUUUCAUCAUUGGGGCAAGAAGCAGGCAUUUCAAAAUCCAAAUAGAUUGCUUGAUAAGGUACUGUAUUCUUCAUUGUACAUGAACAUCUGGGGGAGAACUGAAUGAGGUUAGGCUGUUAGCUAUCAGCAGGCUAGGAUUCUGUGAUGCCUUCCAUUGUUGCAGUUUUGCGAUUGCAAGAUUUUUUUAUUGCAAUUGCAAGUUUGUGACAUUGAAACUCUGAAGCUUUGCGAUUGCCAGUGCCCCCUAUAUGGCUAUUUCAUGUUGGAUGUAUGCUUGACUUUUCAGAUCAGUUUUGUGAUUGAUGAACGCCUACGGGGUAAAGGGUACAAGCGCAAGGUGACUUCUUGUCCUCUUUCCCAUCUCAAAACAUCACCUGACUUAUUAAUUCUCCUAUCAAUUAAUCUGUUCUUUGUCGUUGUUUGUUGUGUUCUUGCUGGCACUGUUGUUUGUAAUCUUCUGUAAUAGUAAAAGAUCACGUAGCUAAUUAAUGUGUACAUUUUGUUUACACAAAAGUUCCCUCUUGCAUUCGAGAGCUUAACCUGGGGAAAAAAAACUGAUGAGUUCUUAUCCAGGAUGUCUUGCGAAAGCUGAAGUCAUUCCUAAGUGGUGAUGAAGCAUUUGGUUACGCACAAUAUGUGAGUUUAGUUAUUAUUCUCAGUAUUACACCUUGACAAUCCUGUUUGUUUUCCUUAUAAUAAAUAAAAUAAAUAAUGCAAUAAUGUGAAAUUCAGGUUAUCAAGUGGGAACAGAUUCCUAUUGAGAAGCGUAGCCAAUUAACGAGAGAAAGACAGGCAAGAUUUUGGGCCAUCACAAAUAUCUUGCAUUCUUAAUAUUAAGGAGGCACCUUUGCUACGAAAGUGGAGUCGUUUAUCUGUUCUUCGGGAGACCUUUUUGUGACUUAUGUCAGUUUGUGUUUUUGUUUCAGGAACAUUUCCAAAAGCAGAGGAUAGAGAAUUCCAUGGGUUCGUCGGAACCCACAGCCAAGCAGGUCAGCUAACUCUCUGUUCAUCUGUCCGUCAGUGCUCUUCAUGCUGCCUGUUCAUUUUCAAGCUCUCUCCGGAACCUGGGCAUUUUGAAGCUCUCCCUCCAUCCCUCUCUCUUAUCAGACGAAACUGAACUCUUGGUCCCUGUGCAUCCAAAUGCAGAUAUCCUACCUCCGGAACCUGGGGUGCACCAUCACUCCGACCUCACGUUUACACGCAUCCCAUCUCAUCGAAAAGUACAAAUCUCUUUGACUUGAUGCUGCAGAGCAGAUGUGCCCAACCGCUCAUAUUUGUGCAAAUCCUUGGGAUCAUGGACUGUGGACUGUGGUUGACGGAAUUCAUGUUAGAACUGUAUAACCAUAUACCUUGUGUACAUGCUGUAAAUAUUAUGAAUGUAGUAUGUAUGAACUCUUUUGUAACCUGGAGACAUCAGGGUUUUAUUGUAUGACACAGCUCCGUUCAGAGUUAGACAUUGUGAAAUCACGAUGAAAAAAGUUAGACAAGUGAUUAAACAAACGGGAAAGUGUUUUAUUAUCCAUUAUAGUAUUGAUCUGGAGCAUUGCACAGAAGAAUUACAUUGAAAUCUUGAACUGAAACACCAACUAAAUCUUAAAGAACUAGUACACAUUAACCGAGACCCGGUUUGGCACAGUUUUUUUUUUUUGCGAAACAGGGUAGAUUAUAUUAAUGAAGCACGGUACAUCUAGUACAUCCCCCUUUUACAUAAAGGACCCUUAAAGAAGAAGAAAUUACAUAGACGUCCUCAUCCUCUUCUCCGAUGAACUGCUCCGCCUGGGAACCAGACCGGAGCCAAAUCCACCCAUCACCAUCGCCGGAGACUCCAAACUUUUGGUAAGCCGCAAGAUCCAGCGCCUCAGACCCGCUGGGACGCAUCUUCAUCCACUGAACGAACGUCGGCGAACUUCGCACCAUGGACGAUGGAGGAACCGCACCCGACGCCAACACGCCGGAGCAGGAGUCCAGGACGGCCGACGACGAGGCCGCCAGCCAACCAGACAAAGACCCCAACAAGGGGACAGACCACAACUCUACCCCGUACGCUAAAAGGUAGAGGUCAACUAACCUCGCUCCCUGCUCACCGGGGAUGACGCCGCCGCCGCCGCCGAAGAGGCACAGGAGAAAGAUGACCAUAGACGACGAUCCGCACGCCAUCGCCGGUAAAUACGAGCUAGUAGACCUACAUCUACAGCUAUACAGGGCCCUCCCGCUAAGGUGCCGGGCUCCCCUACCCGCUCCGCCGCCCAGAGGGCCGCCGGAGGGGAGGAGGCCCGGCGGAUCGACGGGGGGAAGACGAAGCCGCCUUCGAAAUCGCCUGUGGCUACUGUAGCUUGGGGAAAACUCGCGAGGUACAGGGCUAUAUAUCGGUUUGGCACAGCUUUUGAAUUGGCUUAUCUAUAGAAAGUAUCAAAUUUUAAAAAAAAUGAAGCUACCAUUGAAAAAAUUAAUCUUAUGCUUUAUAAUUUUAUGUUUGUUUUUUGACAAAAGGAUG